GUGGAGCCAACCUUGAAAUACCACCCUUUAAUGUUUGAUGUUCUAACGUUGGCCCCUUACCGGGGUUGCGGACAGUGUCUGGUGGGUAGUUUGACUGGGGCGGUCUCCUCCCAAAGCGUAACGGAGGAGCACGAAGGUUAGCUAAUCCUGGUCGGACAUCAGGAGGUUAGUGCAAUGGCAUAAGCUAGCUUGACUGCGAGCGUGACGGCGCGAGCAGGUGCGAAAGCAGGUCAUAGUGAUCCGGUGGUUCUGAAUGGAAGGGCCAUCGCUCAACGGAUAAAAGGUACUCCGGGGAUAACAGGCUG
rnacentral:rRNA from 1 species